rnacentral:rRNA from 1 species
GAGUUUGAUCAUGGCUCAGAACGUACGCUGGCGGCACGCCUAACACAUGCAAGUCGAACGAAGUAGCAAUACUUAGUGGCAGACGGGUGAGUAACAUGUAGGUAUCUACCCUUUGGCCUGGAAUAACACGAGGAAACUUGUGCUAAUACCGGAUAAGUCUUUACGGAGAAAGCUUUAUGCACCAUUGGAUGAGCCUGCACUUGAUUAGUUUGUUGGUGGGGUAAUGGCCUACCAAGACUGUGAUCAAUAGCUGAUUUGAGAGGAUGAUCAGCCACAUUGGGACUGAGACACGGCCCAAACUCCUACGGGAGGCAGCAGUGGGGAAUCUUGCACAAUGGAGGAAACUCUGAUGCAGCGAUGCCGCGUGAGUGAAGAAGGCCCUUGGGUUGUAAAGCUCUUUCGUCGGGGAAGAAAAUGACUGUACCCGAAUAAGAAGGUCCGGCUAACUUCGUGCCAGCAGCCGCGGUAAUACGAAGGGACCUAGCGUAGUUCGGAAUUACUGGGCUUAAAGAGUUCGUAGGUGGUUGAAAAAGUUGGUGGUGAAAUCCCAGAGCUUAACUCUGGAACUGCCAUCAAAACUUUUCAGCUAGAGUAUGAUAGAGGAAAGCAGAAUUUCUAGUGUAGAGGUGAAAUUCGUAGAUAUUAGAAAGAAUACCAAUUGCGAAGGCAGCUUUCUGGAUCAUUACUGACACUGAGGAACGAAAGCAUGGGUAGCGAAGAGGAUUAGAUACCCUCGUAGUCCAUGCCGUAAACGAUGUGUGUUAGACGUUGGAAAUUUAUUUUCAGUGUCGCAGCAAAAGCGAUAAACACACCGCCUGGGGAGUACGACCGCAAGGUUAAAACUCAAAUGAAUUGACGGGGACCCGCACAAGUAGUGGAGCAUGUGGUUUAAUUCGAAGAUACGCGCAGAACCUUACCAACACUUGACAUGUUCGUCGCGACUCUAAGAGAUUAGAGUUUUCGGUUCGGCCGGACGAAACACAGGUGCUGCAUGGCUGUCGUCAGCUCGUGUCGUGAGAUGUUGGGUUAAGUCCCGCAACGAGCGCAACCCUCACUUUUAGUUGCCAUCAUUAAGUUGGGCACUCUGAAAGAACUGCCAGUGAUAAGCUGGAGGAAGGUGGGGAUGACGUCAAGUCCUCAUGGCCCUUAUGUGUUGGGCUACACACGUGCUACAAUGGCACUUACAAUGGGAAGCAAAGAGGCGACUCCUAGCUAAUCCCUAAAAUGUGUCUCAGUUCGGAUUGUACUCUGUAACUCGAGUGCAUGAAGCUGGAAUUGCUAGUAAUCGCGGAUCAGCGCGCCGCGGUGAAUACGUUCCCGGGUCUUGUACACACCGCCCGUCACACCAUGGAAGUUGGUUACACCUUAAGGCAAAGCUUAUACCUUUGACUACGGUACGAUCAGCAACUGGGGUGAAGUCGUAACAAGGUAACC